AAUAAAUACAGUUUUGCACUAUUCACGUUCAACGUUUGACCGUUUAUCUUAUUUAAAAUUUAUUAGAUGAUAAAACAUGAAUAGUACUUUAUGUGUGAUUAAAUAUUUUUAAAUUUUUCACAAAUUUUUUAAAUAAGACGGACGGUCAAACGUUGGGUACGAAUAUCCACGGCUGCACUUAUU
rnacentral:pre_miRNA from 1 species